rnacentral:rRNA from 1 species
GAUGAACGCUGGCGGCGUGCUUAACACAUGCAAGUCGAACGAUUAAGCCCUGCUUGUUGGGUGGUUUAGUGGCGAACGAGUGAGUAACACGUGGGUAACCUCCCCUUAACCCUUUGAUAAUCCUGGCAAACUGGGUCUACUACCACAGAGUGUCGUCCCCCGGACGGUGGGUGUUGGAAAGAUUUAUCGGUUUUGGUUGGAUUCGCGGGGUAUCAGCUCUUUGGUGGGGUAAUGGUGCACGAGGGCGACGGCGGGUCGCCGGCCUGAGAGGGUGACCGGCACCACUGGGACUGCGACACGGCCCAGCCUCCUGCGGGAGGCAGCAGUGGGGAAUAUUGCAAAACGGGCGCAAGCCUGAUGCAGCGGCGCCGCGUGAGGGAUGACGGCCUUUGGGUGGUAAACCUCUUUCUGCAGGGAAGAAGCGAGAGGGACGGUACCGGGUGAAGAAGCACCGGCUAACUACGUG